rnacentral:rRNA from 1 species
GAUGAACGCUGGCGGCGUGCCUAAUACAUGCAAGUCGAGCGAACAGACGAGGAGCUUGCUCCUCUGACGUUAGCGGCGGACGGGUGAGUAACACGUGGAUAACCUACCUAUAAGACUGGGAUAACUUCGGGAAACCGGAGCUAAUACCGGAUAAUAUAUUGAACCGCAUGGUUCAAUAGUGAAAGACGGUUUUGCUGUCACUUAUCGAUGGAUCCGCGCCGCAUUAGCUAGUUGGUAAGGUAACGGCUUACCAAGGCGACGAUGCGUAGCCGACCUGAGAGGGUGAUCGGCCACACUGGAACUGAGACACGGUCCAGACGCCUACGGGAGGCAGCAGUAGGGAAUCUUCCGCAAUGGGCGAAAGCCUGACGGAGCAACGCCGCGUGAGUGAUGAAGGUCUUCGGAUCGUAAAACUCUGUUAUUAGGGAAGAACAAAUGUGUAAGUAACUAUGCACGUCUUGACGGUACCUAAUCAGAAAGCCACGGCUAACUACGUG